rnacentral:lncRNA from 1 species
CUCGUUAUAAAUGACUGUGGGCCAGCAGAGCCAGGCAGGAAAUAUCUCAAAACGACCUGCGUCUUCAUGCAAAUCUCAGCUGUUGCGGCCAGAAGCGUUUGGGUUUAUCGUUUCUCGCGCAUUCUGUGGGUUUGGCCAGCUCUCCGAUGAUGGUCCAGCUCAUUUGCCUGCUGUGUUUCAGUAGUUACAUGCAAAGAAAAAAGCUCCCAAACGAUGAUCUGCUUGUGGUGACACUGGAGGGCCAUCCUGGUGGCCCACAAGAGCUUCUUUCAACCUCAAACUGGCCCCAAGAACAAGAACCCGUGGAAAUCUAUUCUGGACCAAGUUGGAUUUCAACUGGACCAAGAUGGUGGAACACUGCUAGAAAAUCUCUGAUGGAUAGAGAAACUUUACUGUCGUCUCUCACGCCGUCCUGUCAAAUUUCCUGUUUCCAGCUCGACGUGAUUCAGAGUCAAUGUGGAAACAAUUUGAAAAGCUCUUUUCAGCCUUUUUAAAGCUCUCCUAGAAAUACCCAUUGUAACAGUUAUGGGAUGUGGAUGCUGGACCCCGGCAUGACCUUGCAAAGCUGCAUUAAAGACUCAUUAUUUAUGGAAGAAUUCAUUAUUUCUUUAAACCAUUUUCUCUAGUGUGUUUAGUUUCAGCCAAAUCAACGUUAAGAUUGUAACAAGAGCCCGCGGGAGCCCAGCGUGAAACGCUGUACUGUGUCAACACCUGAGCUUUAAUUAAACAUAACAUAAUCCAUCAUUUAAACCAUAGCAUCAGUAAAUACAGCCAACUGUGCGAAAGGGGAAGGAAACGAAACAGCAGUCUGAAGCUGCCCCCUCAUAAAAGGACGCUGACACCUGAACCUAAAGGAAUAAUCCCAAACUAAACAUCCAGAAUCACAUCAUAUCACACUUCCCCUGGUCUUUCCUCCUGCUUUAUACCAAUAACAAAGUAUGAAACGCCACAUUGGGCACCUGUAAGGUGUGUGUGUGUGUGUGGGGGGGGGGGGGGGGUCUCCGAAGGCCCUGUCGACCUCUGUGCCCCUGGGGUCCAGUCAUGUGACUCGGACCCAGUUUGACUUCAGCUGAGAUGAUUUCAGGUCGGUUGUGGGUGGAUUUAUUACUCGCUGCUGAGUGGUUUCACAUGGUGAUUUAAAAGAAGAAAACAACCCGCAGCUGUUUAACACGCCGCUGGCACGUGGGGGCACUAAAUUACCCGGCGGCGUGACGUUAAUUACACGGUCAGCAGCCGGUAGUUCGGCCGCGGAUGCGUCUUUUAAAGACCCUGCUGCGAGCAGCCCACGCGCGAGGAGCGACGUAAUGCGAGUGCACGUGAGAGGGAGAGAGCGCGCGCGACUAUCUCCCCCUCUCGCAUCACGACGUCCAGUCCCUCAUCUGCUCGCGCCCCAUCAUCACGAGACGUGGGAGGCGGCCGUCCAACCUGUGGAGCGUCUUUCUGUCCGCCUGUCUGUCUGACUGCCGCGCACGCACGCACGCACGCACGCACGCCUUAUCUGAAGUAGUUGUAGAGACACAACAGGUCCGCGGAGGAGGCACCGCUGUCAUCCCGGAAGACUCAUCCGGUUUUUGGCGUGGGGGAAGUUGAACCGAGCAGGUGCGUG